AUUGAACGCUGGCGGCAGGCCUAACACAUGCAAGUCGAGCGAGCGGCGGACGGGUGAGUAAUGUAUGGACACUGCCCGAUAGAGCGGGAUAACUACUGGAAACGGUGGCUAAUACCGCAUACUAUCGGAUAACCCAUAUGGGAUUAGCUAGUAGGUGGGGUAAAGGCGCACCUAGGCGACGAUGCAUAGCAGGUCUGAGAGGAUGAUCAGCCACACUGGGACUGAGACACGGCCCAGACUCCUACGGAGGCAGCAGUGGGGAAUAUUGCACAAUGGGCGAAAGCCUGAUGCAGCCAUGCCGCGUGUAUGAAGAAGGUCUUAGGGUUGUAAAGUACUUUUAUCGGGGAGGCGGUACCUGCAGAAGAAGCCCCGGCUAACUCCGUGCCAGCAGCCGCGGUAAUUC
rnacentral:rRNA from 1 species